AGAAGUGUGUUCUAACAAAACAAAGGUAAUAAGCAAAUAUUUAAUAUUGCUUUCCUCUCUCAGCUUUCUCUCAUCUUAAAGUGAGCAAAUAUGAUCAGUAAUAAAACUCUUGGGUAUUACCAUUUACAACGUGCCCUGGCAUAUAUUCUUACUUGAUCCCCAAUUGACACGAGGAAACCGAUUCAGAGAAGUCAUUUGCAAAAAGAUACACAGCUAGUGAGUGGCAAGGCUGGGCACAAAUCUAGGUCUUCCCAUUCUAGAUCGAGUCACUAUGUCCUGUUGAUGUAGUUCUGCCUAUAGACCUUUGAUUUUGUUCCUUCAAAGUUCGAACUAGGUUUCAGCAUAACUCUUUCAGUAUAGAAAUGUCAUAGACCAUGUUGCCUAAUUUGUCUAAAGGAUUAAGGAGAAAGGAAGAAAAGGAUCGCAUGAAAACGUCUACCUAAAUAAAAGGAAGGGCACACACCUCCUAAAGGCAGCAACCUCUGGGGAGGGAGUGUCCAGGUUGUAGGAAUAGUGGUCAAAAUGGACUUUGGCCUAAUCUGUAAAUUGUUAUUUUUUUAAAUAAGAAGAAUGUAUUCAUGUAUUAUUUGUACAAUUUUAUAAUAAUUUUUAAAACCUACUUAGAAGUCUAGGAUUUGCUGUAAAAUAAUCCAGCUUUGGCAGUGGAGGAGGGGUGAGAAGGUGAAAAGAGGGAAACAUACAACAUCGACCACAUACAGAUAAUUACUGAAGCUAUGUGAGAGACACAUGGGAUUGAGUCAUUAUACUGUUUUCUCUUCUUUCAUAUAGAUUUGAAAAUUUCCCUGAUAAAAAGAUUAAAAAGUCUUCCUAGACAGAGGAGAAAAGCUUCGUAAAUCUUUUUAAUAACCUAAUGUAACACUGAUGCUAAAAGAUGAUAAAGGAAAAAAAUGGUCUAUUCUAUGAACUGAUUUUUGGCACGUUGUCCUAAACCCCAAGAAAGUCCUCUAUUUGGAAUAAAGGAUAUCACAUAUCAAAGGAAGUAAGUACAGACUUCUCAAGGAGCCAGGUAACCGGACCUGGAUGGCUAGCCAGGAAUAUCCAGAACAAGGGAAAUCCUGUAGACUCGUGUGUGAAGCUGGACAAAGUAGGCCUCUAUAUCUACUAGAAACGUCAGUAUAUAAUUGCUAGACUCUAGGACGCCUUAUCUGAGAUCACAAUUUGCUGAUGUUAUGACUUCAUUGUGAGUAGGAGAACUGACCAGGAGCUGCCUGUGGCCAGAGCCACUUUGCAUUCAUCUAGGCACCCCCAGCAACUCUCAGGGUGUCUGGCCCACAGUCCUAUAUAAACACGUGCUUAACUAGAUGAAGAAAGAAGACAGUGGUGAGAAGAUCUGAGCCACAGCCAAAGCCCCAAGUCUGCUAGAAACAAUGGUCAAAGCAAGAGAGUGGGAUGUCAUUACAUGGCAAGGAGUUACAGUACCCGAACCCUCCUAUCUACAGUGGCUCAGUCAUUUCAGAAGCUGAAACAGUACUAUGCAGGAGGUGAAGAAUGGACAUUUGCCUGAAUCCUAAGAACAGUGCCCAGCUCUAGUGGUGAGCAUCGGCUGACUAAAUGAAUGAAUGAACUGAAAUACCUGGAAAUCUCUGAGGUACCAGAACCUAAAUGCUGAAGAUCUGCAAAGUAAGUAAUGAUCCUUACCCCAGGGAAAGUUAUGGUCUUGUGGGAGACACAGACUUAUAAAAUUACAGAACAUAGUAGGCACAGUAAAUGCUGUUAUUACCAAGCUGUGAACAAAGUCCUGUGAUAACUCAGAGGACUCAAACAACUAGCUCUGCCUAGGAAAGCUAAAAAUUCAGUGUGAAGUGAACCUUGACCAAGUCUUGCAGAACUCAGAGGUGGGGCCUGAGGAGUUACAGAAGUGAAGAAGGGCAUUCCAAGUGGAAGGAAGAGCCAGGCAAAGGCUCUUAGUCAAGACAGGGCCUGGUGGGUCUAAAAAA